rnacentral:rRNA from 1 species
UGGGGAAUAUUGCACAAUGGGCGCAAGCCUGAUGCAGCAACGCCGCGUGAGGGACGACGGCCUUCGGGUUGUAAACCUCUUUUAGUAGGGAAGAAGCGAAAGUGACGGUACCUGCAGAAAAAGCACCGGCUAACUACGUGCCAGCAGCCGCGGUAAUACGUAGGGUGCGAGCGUUGUCCGGAAUUAUUGGGCGUAAAGAGCUCGUAGGCGGUCUGUCGCGUCUGCUGUGAAAACCCGAGGCUCAACCUCGGGCCUGCAGUGGGUACGGGCAGACUAGAGUGCGUAGGGGAGAAUGGAAUUCCUGGUGUAGCGGUGGAAUGCGCAGAUAUCAGGAGGAACACCGAUGGCGAAGGCAGUUCUCUGGGCCGUAACUGACGCUGAGGAGCGAAAGCGUGGGGAGCGAACAGGAUUAGAUACCCUGGUAGUCCACGCCGUAAACGUU